rnacentral:lncRNA from 1 species
GAAGACACGCCAGACGCUCCCUACCUGUUCUCCUCAUACCUUCACUCUCUCCCCACCGCUCCCCAUUCCAUGGUGGCCCUGCCUGCUCUCCCCACUGCCUCAUCUACCCACCACGGCCUCGCCCCGUCGGCCGCCGCCUCCUCUCCCCACCAUGGCCUCGGCCCGCCGCCUUCUCUCUCCACCACGACCUCACCUUGCCGCUAACCCCGCCGUUCUUCCCUAGAUCGACUCUGUCGCCGCCGUCCACAUGUUCCAGCACAGAUCAAGAUGCGAGCUAGAGGAGCAUCCUGGAAACGAUGCGGCAGCGGGAAUCUCGGAGCGGGCCGAGUUCCAGUUCGUCUACGUGCCCACCGUGAUAGUCGACCUCGUGCUUCGCUCCCACACCUGCUCCGAGAAGGCGCUCCCAGCUUGCCUACGUGGUCGGUUGCUCCAGGUACUUGUGGAUUCAGGCAUUCGCAACUGUGAACUCGAGUUUAACAAACGGUAUAUCACUGCUGGAUGGUGAACACACACAGUGGUGCUUUUAUUGAUAGAAAGUCAGGAUCCUUUCUCUUAAGAGGCUACUGUAAGAAAUGGUAACUUGGGGCAUGACUUGCAAGAAAGGGAUUGUAUGACAGAAUGAUAUUACUUCAUGGUAGAGUUUCUGCAUCUGGAGAUCAAGUUUUAUCUUGGUGUCUCAUGUCAGUUUUAUUGUGUGUGUGUGUGUUUCAGUAACACAUUUACUGUUCUGAUGAUCUUGCAAAUUUGUGAGCCGAAGAAAUGAUGACUUAGAUACUUGCGUUCUGAUAAGUAUGCUGAGCAGAAAUAACAGGCGGUCAUCUGUUAUAUGAUAUAUUAAAUUAAAUGAUGAUUUUUUAUUAGGUGCAGUUUAGAAUUUUGAGUGUACAAUGCAUCCUGUAAUGAGAGACCACACACUUAAAAGUUUCUUUAGAUUGAAAAUGGCUGUAUCUGCUUGCUAAAUCCUAAUUGCUAUCCAUUCCAGUACAAUACUUAUGUAGCUCAGUAGUCUAGGUUCGAGCAUGAGAGUCGUUUUCGAAUUGGAGAGAAAAAAUAUAAUUUGGGGUGAUCCUGUUUUCCUACUGUCUAAUCUUGGAGUAAGCUUAUCCUGAAUAUAUGUGAACUCUUUUGGCACUUUGUGGUUCUCUUUAGUCUCUCCGGUUAAUAUAACCAGUUCAUUAUUAUUUGUAUGUUAUUUGUCUUUCACAUGAAGAUUCAUUCUUUCUGGUUGUUUAGAAAGGACAAAUAGAUGUCGAUCAGUUUGAGCGUGCGGGAUAGCUUAUGUGUGUCUGUUGUUUGGAGUGGGCAAUUCCUGUGUUUUUCUUCUCACACUUCAGUUCUAGUCAUACAUGCAAGAAAGGAAACUGGGUUAUGUAUGUUCAUGCCAAAUAAACAUCAGGAGGUAAUGAUGACCUGUUGCUAACUUCUGCCAAGCCAUUCUUAAGAAUGUUGUUUGUUUGCAGGAUGUAGCUUGGGAAGGUCAGACUGUUGGAGUUGUAGCAGUUGUAGAUUUCUUCAAGGCAAAAAUAAAGCAUUUGCACUUGGUGAUAUGAAAAAGGUUAGCUUUCAGGUUUUGUUUCAGCAUGCUGUCACUCCUUAGCACUAAUUAUUACAUACUAAUUACUACCUGCACGUGCUUCUCGCUCCGGUCAAGAGGUAUUAUCAGUUGGGUGUGUGCGUACUCAAACUUUUAAACUUAUAUAUCUGUAUCUACAUGACUAUUGGGAAUUUGAGAAUUGAGACUAAACUUAUGUAAAUGAUAUUAGUAUGUAGAAGAGUGAAAAAACAAUUUAUAACAUUUUAGCAUUAGAAUUUGUGGUCAAGGUUCACGUCUCAAUCAUACCACAUCAAAUUCAUGCGUGUAUAAAGGGCCAGUUUGGUUGGUGUCCACAACUUCAUGCCUGGGACAAAUGGGUGCCUGGAAUGUAGCUUCUUCCCAGUUUCAAGUAAAAAGUAUUCCCUACAAAUGGGUGCCUGGGACAAAUUACCUUUGGUAGCUUUCCACGAAGGCGAGUUUCACAGCCUUUGACAUAUUUAAAUGCAGUAAUGUUCUGCAUUUAAAACAGCAUAAAGAGAUCUUGUGGAACAUACAUAUGUUUACUCGUUUUUCUGCACUGAGAAAUUGUACCAUUGUAUAUUACAAAAUGAGGCAUACACAAUGGAAGUAAUUGCUACUCAGCGGCACCCCAAUUCGCCCCUGAAACUAAAUUUGUCUUCCAAAAGUGUGCUGUGUGGUACAAUAAAAUAUCAUGUGCAUGUAUCCAUAAAAUAUACAUGUAACCGUAUCAUGGUAGGCUAAACCUGCAAAUGAAAAACAAAUAAUGUUAGUUCCAAAAAUAGUUAUAGAUGCAACAACAUAGUAGCUGCAAAGAAGUAAUGGAAUGACACACCCGCCUCAUCUCUCUAAAACAUCUUUGUAGACAAUGUUCUUGGUGCUUUUCCCGGAUUUAUCAACCUCCUUGUUUGGCUUGGCCAAAAUCCAUGUCGUCUCUCUUGACACUCCCCUUGACAAUGCAACAUAUAGCUGACCAUGUGAGAAUACAGGCUCAGGAAGGUAAAUACCAACGUUUGGGAUGGUCUGACCCUGUGCCUUAUUAAUUGUCAUCGCAAAACUUAGGCGGAUGGGGAACUGUUUUCUCUUAAGUUUGAAGGGAAGUGAGAUGUCCUCCAAGGGCGACAUAGGGAUCCUAAGUAUAAACACCCUCUUUCCAGCAUGCUGACCUCCAACAAUCUCCGCGUCGAUUGCAUUAUCCUGGAAGGCUCUGAUUAUAAGUCGUGUUCCAUUGCAUAGGCCAUUAUGAGGGUCGAGGUUCCGAAGCAGAAUGACUGGGCAGUUGACCUUUAAUCUCAAAACAUGCGGUGGCAAGCCAUUUGGUGUGAUCGAGUUCAAAAAAUCAAUUGUGUAAUUAUUUUGCAAGUCAUCCUCGAUUGAGUCGAAGCUAUGAUAUAACUUUUCUUCGCCUGGAAACCUGGAGAUCAUCUUAUCAUUCAGGUCAUCCACAUGAUCAUUCUUGGUCGAAAGAAUUGCACGUGCGCUCAUGUACUCUCUCGAUCUAGCAUUGGCAUGCAGCGAUGGGAAGACAUCUUCAAUGAGCGUGUUAAUAGCUUUUUCAUCCUCAGUAUAGCGGAUCACAAUGUUGUCAGGGAGACGCACAUAGUCGUCGCCAAUUGUCUCUUCUGUUCCAUUGCCGAUCCUUAGGAGGUAUUUGGAGAACCAAGGAUUAGCCUGUGCACGCAUAUUGUGCGUGAGACAUAUCUUGCGGGUCUUCUCCCACAAAUAUGAUCUCAGAAGUGUAGCAUCUGUGAUCUGCGCUCUUGUCCCACGUGCCACAACGGGAAGGACCUGCCUGAAAUCCCCACCAAAGACGACAACCUUUCCCCCAAACGGCAAAGGACAUUCCAUUAUAUCCUGCAACGAUCUAUCAAGCGUCUCAACAGCUUGACGUUUUGUCAUAGCGACUUCGUCCCAAAUUAUUAAGGACGCCUGUUUAAGCAACUCCGCUGUACCGCUUUGCUUUGUGAAACUACACAUGCUGUUGUCAGUGAGCUUUAUUGGAAUUUUGAACCUAGAGUGUGCAGUCCGUCCUCCAGGCAUUAUCGACGCCGCUAUACCUGAUGUAGCAGUUGCAAUUGCUAUUUGGCCCAUGGAACGCAUCUUUGCAAGCAAUGUCUUGUACAAGUACGUCUUCCCAGUGCCUCCUGGACCAUCAACAAAGAACACCUGACUUUUUUGGUUCAUCACAUGAUCCAUUAUGUCAUUGAAACCAGCCAGCUGCUCACUGUUCAAACUGCUAAAUAGAUCUAGAUGUUCUUUGUCCACGGUGACUUGCCUCUCCUCUGUUACCUCUCUGUGCUCACCAUCAUAAGAACCAUCGGUCUCAACCAGAUCUGGAAGUCCAUAGGUUGUAAUAUCCUUUCCCAUGGAUUGCAACAUAUCCCUGAUAUCUCUAAGCACCAUCUGUUCAAGUGUUGCCUCAUUGGAUUGGUUACGACGGUAAUCCUCAGACAUUGAUGCUAGAUUCUUGUCCCACAUUUGUCGGAUUUCUGUUGCCUCACAAAAUACCAGUAUAGUCGCAAACAACCGUCUUAGGGCACAAGGCAUCUGAAAUGUGGCUGCCUCCGUCAUGCAAUCAUCAAGAGUCCUGUCGUGCUCAAUGAGGCCUAAGUGCUCACAUGCCUCCCUGAAGGAACUGCAUGCCUUGCCAUUUACUGUUUUUAAAUCAUCAAAUGAAGUGGCACCCCGGACAUGACUUAGUAGGACACGCAAGUAGUACCUUUCUCCUUCAGUAGGGUGUGCAUACACAAGCCUUCCGACCUGUGAUCUCUUAUUUCUUCUGUUCUGCCACUCCUUGUUUCCAGCUAUCCAUCUAUAAUGUUUUGGAAACUCUCUGUACAACCAUUUUCAUGCCUCUGGAAACCUUCGGUUCAUCUCAAAGUACUCGGUAAGCAUGGACUUGGAAGAAGAUGGUCGAGCGAGAACAUCUUCCAGAUUUUCACAAGAUUUAAAUGCAAUUGUAUGCAUGUUUGGCAAAUGAAGCUGGAGCUGCAGCACAGAUGGACUGACACCAAACAUUUUAAAACCAAAAAUCCUGUAAAUAGCCUCUGGAGGAGAUACAUAUCGUGCAUCUCUAUAUUGUCGGAUUUCAUUGAUGAUUCCACCAUCAUUGAUGAUAUCCUGCUUGAAUGCAAAGGAUGUCCGAUCAUGCCCUUUGUAGAUGUACUUGAACAAGUACUUGACUGCCUUGAUGCUUGAGCAUGCUUCGACAUUAAUGUGGUAGUUGUAUCGCAUAAGCAGAAAAGGGUUGUAAGGGACCACCCAUCUAUUGUCCAAAUUUGCUUCUCUGAUCCUAACUCCACGUCCAUCGUCCCUCCUCCUAUAGAUGGGAUAUGAGUCUUUCCCUUGUUGUGUGGCAUUGCAAAAAUCUCGCGGGUAAUGAAAUCGACACUGUCCAUUAAUCAUGCAAGGACAACUUUUUUUCAACUCACCACAGGGUCCAUGCAUCAUGUGUUUGAUGACCAGAUCAUGUAGAAUGGGGUAUUUUUCUUUGUCAGGUAUCUCUGCAGAUAUCACCCGAUCAUAGGCAUCCGGGGUCGCUAACUUUCUUUUUGCUUUCAUGAUUAGAAGUAUAUGCUCAUGCGGGAGACCUUGUUUCUGAAACUCCGUGACAUGUACAUAAGCCGCAACUUCUCCGAAAUGCUUACCUCUAGUCAGUAAGUCCAUCAUAUCUCGUUGUUUAGCUUUGUAUACUCUUGCCACCAGGUCUGGACGGUCUUGUGGCAGUUGUCUAGGCAACAAUUUCUCAGUUAUCUCCUCCCAAUAAGGAUUGCAAGUCAUUGUGAUAAAAUAAUCCGGUUUACCCCACCGCUGGACUAUUGCCAUUGCAUCUAGAAACCUCCGUUGCAUGUCAUGGUCACCACCCGGAAAUGUACGUGGGAGCACGAUUCUCUUGCCAAUCCGAUCACAGCGUGACUCGCCGACAACGACAGUGUCAACAAGACCCUAUAAUAGUAUACAAGGUUAUAGAAAAGCAUGGAAUGUCCAUAAAGUCGUUGCAUUAUGAUCUAUUAGAAUAUACAAAAGCACGUUACCUGGUAGAGGUCAGCGCGUAUAACCUUCUGAUUUUCCGGCUUUGAGUACCAGUCAAGCCUCAUAGUCUCCAUCUUGAUAUACAUGUCAACAGCCCACUGUUGGAAAAGGUGCACCCCGAACAAGAUGAUGUUAAAAAGCUUCUUCCUGACCUGCAGUUUGAAGCAGUAGUACUCCCUCGCACUAACAAAUUUCCUGGCCUUUGUUGCAUUCACCUCAUUGUCACCAAAAUCCUCAUCUGGGUUAUAUUCAUUGUCAUCUACAAGAUUCACAACAUUUCAAAUUCAAUAUGUUGUUUGCAGGCAUAAUAGUUGACCAUAUAAGAAUUAAAGAUUAAGCAAUGAUGACCGAUACCCGCAGGUAAAUCCGUGGCAUGGUCUUCAUGUGGUUCAAAAUUCCCAACUUGUUCACUUUCUGUAAUGAAGUUUUCAUGUGAUAGAAAAAUGAGAACAUAAGUCUUCAUUCGUAAAUAGCAAGUAUAUAAAUUAAUAGUGCACAUCAUACCUGUAGAUAAAUCAGAGGUUUGGUUUACUUGUGGUGCAGUAUUAUGCGCUGAAUAUUGGGUCGUGUCAUCUACAAGAUUGACAACAUUUCACCUUCAAUACGUUGUUUGCACCGAUAAUAAUUGACCACAUAAGAAUUGAAGAAUAAGCAAUGAUGACCGAUACCUGCAGGUAAAUUUGUGGCAUGGUCUUCAUGUGGUUCAAAAUUCCCAACUUGUUCACUUUCUGUAAUCAAGUAUUCAUAUAACAGAAAAAUGAGAACAUAAGUCUUCAUUCAUAAAUAGCAAGUAUAUAAAUGAAUAAUGAACCUCAUACCUGUAUAUAAAUCAGAGGUUUGGUUUACUUGGGGUGCAGGGUCACCCGACGAACAUUGUGUGGUGUCAUCGAGGGGGCCAACAUAUGGCAUCCUACGAUUCCAACCAGUCUCCCCAUGUGGGGAGAAUAGUGGAUAUGACAAUGGGUCGUAGCACCCAUAGUAUGCUCUAAUAUAUAGGGGCCGGUCUCCUUUUUUUCCAUGUACGACAACACUUCUAUCAAAGCAAUUCUUUGGGUCGCUCCCUUCAACCCAUAUCGCUGCCACUUGAGAAGUCGUUGGGGCAUUGUACCUUCGUUGAUCCAAGUUGAUAUCCGUGUUUAGUGAGAUCCUAUACUCAUCUAGAUUUGGAACAGACCCAAGACUCUUUAAAACUUGUGCAUAAGGGUUAUGCUCAAGUAUUCGCAGAAUCUUUCGUAUGAGUUCUAUAUUAAGAUCUGGAGACCUCAUAGCCCUGUGAACCAAGUCUUGAUCUGUAUCAUAAAUAUAGAGCUGCAAAUGGCGAGGUCCAUUAUCAGCCGGCACCAGACCAUCAAGAGCGUGGUAUAAGCCACCACAUGCACGAAAUGUAUAUACUCCAGUUCCUACCGCAGUGCUUACUCGAUGAUCAAGAGUGACUCCUAGAGUUAUGAAUGAGAAGUGCGAGUGGAAAUAUCGUAUAUGCUCUCUGAAAUAUUUAGCAUCCUCGUCAUCUUGACUUGUAAACAACCGUUUCAGCUCUUUUGGAACGUCUGGAGUAAUAAUAUCGACUUUUCCUUUUCUGCAACAAAAUGCUGGGCCCUCAAAUGGAAACCGCAAUGCCCCACAAUGGCGGCAGUCGGGAACCUUUCUUAGGACAUGGUGCUUUGUAGGUAGGUUUCGGUAAAUGAAUUCAUCGGUAUUUGAUACUGGUGCUGCUCAUGGGCGUCCAAGUUGGUAAGAUUCAUAAGCAAGACCUAGCAUUAAAGAACAAUAUAUAUUAAAUUAUGAAUGAAUACCUAUGAGGCUCAUGGUAAAUUUGGAAAUAGACAAUGGACAUACCUUCGGCCAUAAAUAUUCUAGCUUCCUCAUCAGGCUCAUGGUACACAGAUUCUCCAUUUUGCAAUGGCGCCAAGCAGUCUAGUAGGCAAUAUAUUGGUCAAACAUAAAUGCCACAAAAUUGUCAACGAAGAACCUGAACAGUGAACGACUAAACAUAUAAUGUACCUUCAAAAUUGGGUUGUUGAACAACAGGCUCAAAUAUUCCAUAUGGAUCUUCUAUCUGGUCGUUGCCCACUACGAAAAACCACAAGAUAAGUAGAGCAUACAAAAUCAGGUACUAUAGUAGUCUAGGGUCAUAAAAAUUACUUUGUAGAUCUUGAGUGCUUUGAGUAUCAUCUGGAGACGGUUCUGCAGGGUGUCUCUCAUCAUUAGUUGGUGUCUUCAUUGGUUGACUGGAGCCAUUAAAAGGCUCUAUACCUGAAUAGACGAAAGAGAACCAGGAAUUGCGGUCAAAUAAACACUAUGGACACACUUCCACCAUAACUAAAUGGACGAACUAAACCGGACCUUGAAUUGAGAAAUCUGGGUUACGUAUUCUGCUAAGUUGGGGUGCCUGAACCCCUGAAAGUUGUGUGAGAGGCUCUGCAUUGUGUUCAAUUGACAGUAACUUUCAUUUAGAAGCUGAUUAUAGUUUUGUUCUUGUUUAGAAGAUUACAAACCAAAGCCAUUAAAGCAUACCUUGUGCAAUAUCUCUUACGACGGUGGAGAUUGAUUGCAUGUUAUGACCAAGAGGCAUAGCAACAGCUCUAAUGCGUCCACCAAUUUGUUGUAUCUGAUAUGCAUCAUUCCGGUGCAACCAAUCGGACUCCUCGUCGUAUGUUAAAGUAUUCUCCUUGUCGUGGGGGCAUGUUCAGCUGAUAGAGAUGAAUUUGGUAUAUUUGAUGCUACUGCAUGAAAAUUGUAGAUAACAUCAGUAAUUUUUUUUUGUUAUAUUCGAUAAGAUAACACCAUGCAAUCAAUAUGUUAUGGUAGCACAGAACCUUCAGACGCUAUUUGUUGUAGCUGGGUGACACCGGAUUGUCCUGUAGCUGGUGUGUGUGACACGGUGCUAUCGCUGGUGAGUAGGGUCGUAGUAGCCUUUCUCUGCUCACGUGAUGGGCGUUGUCGUUUUAAUAUUUCAUCCCUAUUUUGUGCAUACCGCUCCCUGUCCCUUUUCCUCCACAUUUCUUUAGGGUCUACAUAUGUAACGCCCUCGAUGCGACUAUAUCUCCCACGUGUUGAAGCACGACUUAGAGACAUAACCGCAUUGAAAGCAAUGUCGCAAAUUAGGUAAUCUUCACACAACCCAUGUAAUACAUAAGGGGAAAAGAUACAUAGUUGGCUUACAAUCGCCACUUCACACAAUACAUAAAUAAAGCAUUACAUCAUCCAGAUACAAUCAAGGCCCGACUACGGAGCCAAAAUAAAAGAAAACCCCAAAUGCGACAAGGUCCCCGAUCGACCCCAACUGGGCUUCACUACUGAUCAACUAGAACGAAACAACACAAAGGACAAGAUCUUCAUCGAGCUCCUCCUUGAGCUUGGUAGCGUCAUCUGCAUGGUUCAACGGCACCUGCAAGCUGGUUUUUGGAAGUAUCCGUGAGUCACGGGGACACAACAAUCUCACACCCUCGCGGUCAAGACUAUUUAAGCUUAUAGGAAGGGUAAAAGGUAUGAGGUGUAGCUGCAGCAAGCGACUAGCAUAUAUGGUGGCUAACAUACGCAAAUGAGAGCGAGAAGAGAAGGCACAACACGGUCGAUAAAAGUAUGAUCAAGAAGUGAUCCUAGAACAACCUAUGUCAAGCAUAACUCCAACACCGUGUUCACUUCCCGGACUCCGCCGAGAAGAGACCAUCACGGUUACACACGCGGUUGAUGUAUUUUAAUUAAGGUCAACUUCAGGUUUUCUACAAUCGGACAUUAACAAAUUCCCAUCUGCCCAUAACCGCGGGCACGACUUUCGAAAGAUCAUAUCCCUGCAGGGGUGUCCCAACUUAGCCCAUGACAAGCUCUCACGGUCAAUGAAGGAUAAACCUUCUCCCAAGACAUUCCGAUUAGACUCGGCAUCCCGGUUCUACAAGACAUUUCGACAAGUUAAAACAAAUCCAGCAACACCGCCUGAAUGUGCUGACAAAUCCCGAUAGGAGCUGCACAUAUCUCGUUCUCAGGGCACACUCAGAUGAGCUCUCCAUACAACUAAAACCAAACCUCGAGUUUCCCCGAGGGGGCGCUGCACAGGACUCUAGUUUGGACCAACACUCAGAGGAGCACUGGCCCGGGGGGGUUUAAAUAAAGAUGACCCUUGAGUCCGUGGAACCCAAGGGAAAAAGAGGCUAGUGGCGAAUGGUAAAACCAAUAUUGGGCAUUGCUGGAAGAGUUUUAUUCAAGGCGAACUGUCAAGGGGUUCCCAUUAUAGCCCAACCGCGUAAGGAACGCAAAAUCCGGGAACAUAAUACCGGUAUGACGGAAAUUAGGGCGGCAAGAGUGGAACAAAACAUUAGGUAUAAGGCCGAGCCUUUCACCCUUUACCAAGUAUAUAGAUGCAUUAAUUAAAUAAGAGAUAUCAUGAUAUCCCAACAAGUAAACAUGUUCCAACAAGGAACAACAUAGCCAUGUUCCAACAAGGAACAAACUUCAUCUUCACCUACAACUAACAACGCUAUAAGAGGGCUGAGCAAAGCGGUAACAUAGCCAAACAACGGUUUGCUAGGACAAGGUGGGUUAGAGGCUUGGUUCAACAAUAUGGGAGGCAUGAUAAGCAAGUGGUAGGUAUCGCAGCAUAGGCAUAGCAAAAGAGCGAGCAUCUAGCAAGCAAAGAUAGAAGUGAUUUCGAGGGUAUGGUCAUCUUGCCUGAAAUCCCGCAAGGAAGAAGAACGAUUCCAUGAAGAAGACAAACGGACGUAGUCGAAUGGGUCCUCACAAACGCGACGUUAUCAGAACCAACCCGAAGAAGCCACACCGGAAAGAAGCACACAACAUAGUAAACAACCAACACAUAAUCAUGGCAUGAUGCACAAUCAAGUAUGAUGCAUGUCCGGUUUAAUGAAGCAUGGCAUGGCAAAGUACACAAACAACACUACAAGUUAAGUGGCGUUGCAUAUUGACGAAACACCACGUGACUUAUUUAGUUCUCUCUCGUUUAUGUACUCAACAAUAUUAAAUGUUGAUAAGCAUGGCAAGAGGUGGAGCAAAUGAAAACUACCUAUCUAGUCAAGUUUAAAUGAGGCCGGAAACAACGAACAACAAUUUCGGAAACUCCUCAUAUGCAUAUAUUAGGUUUGGUACUGUUCUGCCCUAAACAUAAUUUUAGAGUUGUUAAGCAUGCAAAAUAAGGCCACCGUGUUAAACUAGGCAAAAUUCUACCCCAUUUACAUAUAAAGAUUAUUAUAAUCAGAGCUACGGUUAUUUAGUUAUGAAUUAAAUCAUUUUUACAUGGCAUAGGGGAAAAUAUAUGCAAACAGCAUUUUAAACAUUUUAAACAUGGAUGAAAGUGACAUAUUAUUUAUCUACAUAAAAUUCUAAGCAAGAUUCAUAUAUUAAGUUUUUACAUGUGAUGCUUAGUUAAUAAGUUAUUAUAUGCAUGAACUAUGAUGGGUUUUCUGUAAAUCUGCAAACUCCUGGAUAAAUAGAUAAAUCGCAGAUCCUAAAAAAACUAUACGAGCCGAAACAAAGGCCGGCCCACAUUGCAUAGGGGCUCGUGUGCUGCUCACCAUGGGCCAAAGGCCCAGAUCUGGAGUGGUUCGGCUUGACUGGCCGGCCGGGACGAGCUGGGCCUGGCCGAGGCGGUUGCUGGGCGCACGCGGUCAACGCGUGGCUGGACCGAGCGAUGCAGGCGCUCGUUCUGCUCGCACUAAACAGGGGCGCUGGCGGCUGGGAGCAGAGCUCCGGCGAGCGUGGCAAACGGCGGCGAGGCGAGGGACUUGGCGCGGCGGCGGCUUGUGGAAGAGCAACAACGAUGGAACUAGGUGCGGGUGAGGGACUUCGCGCUCGAGACGGACAGGAGGGCGCCGUCCUCGUCAGGAACCCUCGAAGACGACGACGACAGAGACUGCAGCAGGCAACGACGCAGCUUGGGCGGCGGAGCUGGAGCGAGGGAGGCGGCUGAGGGAGUGUGGUUGCCGGAGACGCGAUCCAGGGCGGCGGGAGUUGGGGCUCCAUGGCCACGGCGAGGAGUUCCAUGGGCGGCGGCGCUGUUCGUUCCUGCAGGGAGGCGGGGUGAGAAGCAGAGAGAUCGUGAGCGAGAGAGAGGAACAAAGAAGAAAAAAGGAGAGGUAAAGGGAGGCGCUGGCGUAGAAUCUCAUGUGCAUGCUCGCACACGAGCGCGAGGCUCUCCUCGGGUGGCUCCUGGAGGUAGCGCAAGGUCGAGGUGCUCGAGGAUGGCGCAGGUCGCCGUAGACGAGGUGGCAGAGGCAGGAGACGAAGCUGCUCGAAGCUCUCACAUGGCGGCGUUGAGGGAGCUCGAGAGGAGGCUCGGAUGGAUUGGCUGGAUCUGAACACGAGGAAGGAAAGUGGUUGCUGCGAUUCGUCUCGGGUGGAACUGGAUCGGGAGGGGAUCCCGAUGUGGGAGAGGAGUGGCGGCGGGGAGGGACAAGCCUCCUAGGUUUUAGGGUUAGGCUAGAUUUGGUAGGUGGUGGUCUAUAAAUAUAAGGAAAAGAAGGAGUUUGGAUCCUCCGAUCAAAAUCGGACGGUUCAGAAAGAAUAGGCUAGGGAGUCCAAAUAAGAAAACGGUGACGUUUUGUAGACGUUUGGGGAUGAUCCGGAUCCAACGGUGACGACUGCCCGGGUCGGGUCCGGGACAAUCUCGGACGCGCACGUGAGGGGUUCGAUGCACUGUGCAGAGAGGGUUUCGGACCGUGCGGUCGCAUCAGACAACUCCGGAAGUGAAGAGGGGAAGGAGGAUGGACUAGGUGGGUUGUGGCGAGACUGCGAGGGGAACAAGAGAGAGAGAGAGGGCUCGGCAUCUGUUUCCGGAGACCGAAAACGUCCGACAUUAGACCGGUUAUAAUGGCGCUAUAGUUAAUCGUUGGGGUGUCAAACGAACUCUGAAUGCGAUGAAACUUGACAGGCGGUCUAUCUAUACUAUAAUAAGACCACACGCCAACUUUCAUCCCAUUUCGAGAACAUUUUCCGGCCACUUAUAAAAUACUAUUACGGACAUGUCGCGGGCGCGUGCGAGUGUGUCUGGACUCAGAACGGACAAUGGAAGGAACGGGGAGAACCCGGACGGAUGCAGGUUUUGAAAACAUGAUGAUGCAAUACACAUGAUGACAAGAUAUGCAAUGCAUGACACGCAAGCAACGACAACACAACAACAACGAAUAACUGGAGGACAACUGGCACAUCGGUCUCGGGGCGUUACAACACUCCACCACUACGAGAGGAUCUCGUCCCGAGAUCUAGAAUGGCACCGGAGAGAAAAAUGGAAGAGAAAAGAAGAGGUAAAACUAAGUUGCUUCUUUGACAAACGAGUGAGAACAAAGAACCUUGAAAAGGUUAAGCCAUUACGAGUAAGAAUACAACGGAGAUGAACGAAGUUGAAAGCACUCCGUUAAGAAAGAGGAAUAAGAAAGAACCGAUUUGGGUAGCACUUCGGUUGAAAAGAGAUGAAGACUUGAUAAAAUGAAAGAGCUUAAGCAAAAGGGACACAACACUCCGGUUAAAUGGAUAAACCAAGAAAAUAACAUGAUCCUGACAAAACGAAAAGAUGAAACAUCACAAUGUCUCCGGAAGAAAAGAAUAGAAGUUAGAUCAUUGAAAUAGGAGAAUGGAGAAGAAAAUGCCAAAACCUGCCACAAAAGAGCUCGACAAGGCAUCUUUAGGAGAAGGGUCGAACGGAGUUGUUGGGAAUCCAACAACGAAAAGGAUAAGAUUGACAUGGACUUAUAGAAGACAUCUCAAAAUUAUGAGGUGACAACCUGUCACUCACGGGAAAAAGAAUUGGAUAGAUAAGAGCAAAUUGACGAGAAAGUAUAUCGCACCGGAAAGGAUAAAUGAAGAACUUGAAUCCUUUAUAAGCACCAUAAUAGCAAACAUCCUUAAAGAAGGCUUAAGGUGAAAUAUAAUCCAAGAUAACUCCAACGAAGAGGUUGAUGGAUUUAAAAUACCCCAUUCUCGAUAACUUGUGAAACAUGAAAUAAGAACUCAAAUUAUCAAGAAUGACAUAAUACCAUCUCCAAUAAUAUGGUAGAAAGAAUUGCACUCCUAAUUGCAAGAUGAAGAAACUUAAGCUCCUUAGAAAAGAAUGUUGAUGAACACUUCGAGAAGGAAAUUAAACCUUCAUGAAGAACUCCGGUAACAAAAAGAAUAACGAAAAUAAAAAUAAAGAGAAGUCGGAAAACACAAGGUGAAACCUUGUAAUUAUUUAGACGGAUCUCCGUGAUAAUUAGAGCUUGGAACUCCGGAAAAGAAAAGAUGAAGCACCUCGGACCGAGAAUGUGAUAUGAUGAACAACUCCGGGUUGAAGAAACUAGAUCACUUGGAUGAAACAAUAAUAAGAAUUACAUUAUGUGUAUCCUUCACCAAUUUAGAUUGAUGACAAGCACGGAUUUGGCAUACUACUUAUUCUCGUAGAAAGGAAUUAAAAUAGAUAUUGCGCAACCUUGGGAAGGUCUUCAAUGAACCACCGGUAGGAUUUGGAAAUAGUGAAUAAAUAAAUAUGAUAAAGGAGGAAGAGAAAUCUUGAACGAACCACCGUAAGAAUUGAAAAUGAACGAAGAAAAGAGAUGAAUCACCGGUAAGAAUUAGCAAAUGAACAAACAUACUUGAGGCAAUCUAGAUACAUGACAACGAAAGGAUCACGAAUUGAUUAGAGAAUAUUUGAAUGAUGCACCGGUAAGAUUUGGAGAACGAGAGCUGAAGGCUGAGAAUGAAUAAUUCUGAGAUGGUGGGCUCCGGAGAAUUAAACUGAAAAUACUCUGAAUUACUCCGGAUGGAUGAAAAGAAUAUCUCACAAUCGCAAAUAAUUAUGAGAGGAUGGCAACACGCUAGAAUCACGAAUCUUAAAGAGAAUGGAGCAAUAUUGAGAAAAAAAAUCUUCUUCGGUCUUCCAAUCUGAGAAUGACGACGAGAAACACCACCAUGAAUUAUUGAGGUACUCCGAAAUUAAAAUUGGAAAGGUUGAACCAAUGAUGAAAAGAAUUUGAAAGAUCUUGGCGAAAAACAUUUGACUGAUGACAGUUCAUUAUUACGUCAAACUUUGAAAAGAAUUUUACGGAUCUCUCUGGGAGAAUUAGAAAAGUCAGGUAAGAUCCUGGGAAAAGACCUGUGGGUUAGGGCCCACUCAAAAGAAACACCGUUGAAAUGAUUUCAAAGAGAGAAAGCACCAUUGAAUUAAAUGACUUGAAUGAGGGAACAUCCUCGAAAGAUCUUGAACGAAUGCAGAGUGGAAAACACAAAUCUUCGAGAUAUCUUCAGCACUCCGGAACAAUUAAAUAGCGAGAAGUGGAAUGGUUAUGAGGUGCACCGGCAUGAGAAAACAUUUGAAACGAGGAAAAGGAUGUGAUCAACAAAGCUUGACCUGAAACCACCGGAGAUGAAAAGAAUGAAAAAUGACGAACUUGGAGCUCCAUUAGAAUCUUCAUGAGAAUCACCAGAUAAGGACAUUGGCGGAAAAGGAAUGAAGAGACCUCACAUCAAUAAAAUGGAUACUUGAUGAAGAAAUCUGAGUCCUUGAAGAAACAAAGGGAGGGAGGGUGGGAAAAAACAAAGACAACCAGGGAAUGGAUGAAACAAACAACGUUGAGAGCUUAGAUUGAAUCUUACGGACGUAGAAAAUGGACGGACCCGCUUGAAGAGAAGCACACCGGUGGAAAAGAAUUGACGAGACAGUCUCGAUUAUCGAGAAGGAUUAGUACUCACAUAGAAGUAAGAGAACACCGCUUAGAAAAAGGCAUGGAAUCAUCAUUUGACUUCGAAGCAACUCGAAUACCACAACUGAAAACAAAACAAAGGAUUGGCUUGCAGAAUAAGCCGGAACAAACAUAUAAUAGAGAUUUUGUCCAAAGUUUUUGUGGUGGGGCCUACACGGGCUCGAUCGUACAUCACCAUCAUGUACAAGGCAGUGCACAUGACAUACGAAGCGUCCCCGAGUCGGCAUAGCCAAGGACUCUUUAAGACACAACGAGACCACUGUAAAAUCAACCGUGAAUAGGCGGACCACUAGACGUCGAACCCCAAUUUCAUAUCAUACAUCUGUCGGAAAGAAAUCCUAAGAGCUACUUGAAUUCUCACUUAUAAAUUCCCGAAAUUUUUCGGUUAUGCAAUCAGGUGUUAGGGAUACAGGGGAAGCAUAAUAGCUCACCCAAAUCUAGCAAAUCCUACAUCCAGCUGUAUCUAUCCUUCAACACAUAACCAAGAUACCUUCGGAAAUUGUCUACCUCAACCUUCGAAACUCAUCCGUUAUACAAGUUAUGGCAAUACUCUCGAACUCCCGCCCCAGUACUGGGUGGCGCCGAGGUUAUCUCACCAACGAACUGCAUAAAAGAGAUUUUCGAUGUCGGCGUACUAAACUCAGGUAUUUCAGAACUUCAACGAUAAAAUUGUGACGACAACACCUCGGAGCUCAACUCCCCGGGACACUGCCACAACCCCUAAAUGACAGGAGGCACCAAGAACAAUGUUCUCGUCACAAAUCCAUUGGAACGAUUCCAAGAUACCCGCGUGAUCCUAAAAUGUUUUUUUAGUGAAAUUUGAGAAAAGAAGAGUCAAAACUCUACAUCAGGAUGCCUUACCAGAGCGAUGAAGGGACUGGGGAGUAAAAAGAAUUGCUAAACUCUCCGAUAUAUAAUUCCUAGAUGACUCAAAACAAUUUUCUAGACUCAACAACGGCUGCUAAAAAUGAUCAAUCAGUGUGGGCACCUAAGGUCGGGGAAGGCUCUGAUACCAACUUGUAACGCCCCGAACACACCCGCCGGUGGUCGUUACUCCUGGCGGGAUCUAGACUGGCCCCAUAGAUCAAUACUAGUCUUUUCUGCGCACUUUGUCCUCACUCAUGCGCACCCGGGAGCAACUUCCCGGUCGGUCACUCAUCCUGACACUACUCCAAACUGAGCACGCUUAAUUUUGGAGUUCUGUCCGAAUGGGCUCCCGAAAAAGAAGGAAUUCCUUAUUGAUAUGAGUAGUCUAUCAUCCCUAAUAAGUCAGGCCAUCACAUACACCCCCACUCAGAGGAAUCGAUGUCCUCGUUGGGCCACAGGAACGCUCCCUCUUGGCACAUACGUCUGUGCAUCCAGUCCGAUACAUGUGCCAUGCCGGGUGCCACGACGGGUCACAAACGUCAUGAACAUGACCGCGCACCUGUCCGCAAACAUUCGUGUAACCGCAAGGGUCGGCUCUGAUACCAACUUGUAACGCCCUCGAUGCGGCUAUAUCUCCCACGUGUCGAAGCACGACUUAGAGGCAUAACCACAUUGAAAGCAAUGUCGCAAGUGAGGUAAUCUUCACACAACCCAUGUAAUACAUACGGGGAAAAGAUACAUAGUUGGCGUACAAUCGCCACUUCACACAAUACAUAAAUAAAGCAUUACAUCAUCUAGAUACAAUCAAGGCCUGACUAUGGAGCCAAAUAAAAGAAGAACCUCAAAUGCGACAAGGUCCUCGAUUGACCCCAACUGGGCUCCACUACUGCUCAACUAGAACGAAACAACACAAAGGACAAGAUCUUCAUCGAGCUCCUCCUUGAGCUUGGUAGCGUCAUCUGCACGGUUCAACGGCACCUGCAAGCUGGUUUUUGCAAGUAUCUGUGAGUAACGGGGACUCAGCAAUCUCACACCCUCGCGAUAAAGACUAUUUAAGCUUAUAGGAAGGGUAAAAGGUAUGAGGUGUAGCUGCAGCAAGCGACUAUCAUAUAUGGUGGCUAACAUACGCAAAUGAGAGCGAGAAGGCACAGCACGGUCGAUAAAAGUAUGAUCAAGAGGUGAUCCUAGAACAAUCUACGUCAAGCAUAACUCCAACACCGUGUUCACUUCCCGGACUCCGCCGAGAAGAGACCAUCACGGUUACACACGCGGUGGAUGUAUUUUAAUUAAGGUCAACUUCAGGUUUUCUACAACCGGACAUUAACAAAUUCUCAUCUGCCCAUAACCGCGGGCACGGCUUUCAAAAGAUCAUAUCCCUGCAGGGGUGUCCCAAAUUAGCCCAUGACAAGCUCUCACGGUCAACGAAGGAUAAACCUUCUCCCGAGACAUUCCGAUCAGACUCGGUAUCCCGAUUCUACAAGACAUUUCGACAAGUUAAAACAAAUCCAGCAACACCGCCCGAAUGUGCCGACAAAUCCCGAUAGGAGCUGCACAUAUCUCGUUCUCAGGGCACAUUCAGAUGAGCUCUCCAUACAACUAAAACCAAACCUCGAGUUUCCCCGAGGGGGCGCUGUACAGGACUCUAGUUUGGACCAACACUCAGAGGAGCACUGGCCCGGGGGGGGUUUAAAUAAAGAUGACCCUUGAGUCCGCGGAACCCAAGGGAAAAAGAGGCUAGGUGGCGAAUGGUAAAACCAAUGUUGGGCAUUGCUGGAAGAGUUUUAUUCAAGGCAAACUGUCAAGGGGUUCCCAUUAUAGCCCAACCGCGCAAGGAACGCAAAAUCCAGGAACAUAACACCGGUAUGACGGAAACUAGGGCGGCAAGAGUGGAACAAAACACUAGGCAUAAGGCCGAGCCUUCCACCCUUUACUAAGUAUAUAGAUGCAUUAAUUAAAUAAGAGAUAUCAUGAUAUCCCAACAAGUAAACAUGUUCCAACAAGGAACAACAUAGCCAUGUUCCAACAAGGAACAAACUUCAUCUUCACCUGCAACUAACAACGCUAUAAGAGGGGCUGAGCAAAGCGGUAACAUAGCCAAACAACGGUUUGCUAGGACAAGGUGGGUUAGAGGCUUGGUUCAACAAUAUGGGAGGCAUGAUAAGCAAGUGGUAGGUAUCACAACAUAGACAUAGCAAAAGAGCGAGCAUCUAGCAAGCAAAGAUAGAAGUGAUUUCGAGGUUAUGGUCAUCUUGCCUGAAAUCCCGCAAGGAAGAAGAACGAUUCCAUGAAGAAGACAAACGGACGUAGUCGAACGGGUCCUCACAAACGCUACGUUAUCGGAAACAACCCGAAGAAGCCACACCAGAAAGAAGCACACAGCAUAGUAAACAACCAACACGUAAUCAUGGCAUGAUGCACAAUCAAGUAUGAUGCAUGUCCGGUUUAAUGAAGCAUGGCAUGGCAAAGUACACAAACAACACUACAAGUUAAGUGGCGUUGCAUAUUGACGAAACACCACGUGACUUAUUUAAUUCUCUCUCGUUUAUGUACUCAACAAUAUUAAAUGUUGAUAAGCAUGGCAAGAGGUGGAGCAAAUGAAAACUACCUAUCUAGUCAAGUUUAAAUGAGGCCGGAAACAACGAACAACAAUUCCGGAAACUCCUCAUAUGCAUAUAUUAGGUUUGGUACUGUUCUGCCCUAAACAUAAUUUUAGAGUUGUUAAGCAUGCAAAAUAAGGCCACCGUGUUAAACUAGGCAAAAUUCUACCCCAUUUACAUAUAAAGAUUAUUAGAAUCGGAGCUACGGUUAUUUAGUUAUGAAUUAAAUCAUUUUUACAUGGCAUAGGGGAAAAUACAUGCAAACAUCAUUUUAAACAUUUUAAACAUGGAUGAAAGUGACAUAUUAUUAAUCUACAUAAAAUUCUAAGCAAGAUUCAUAUAUUAAGUUUUUACAUGUGAUGCUUAGUUAAUAAGUUAUUAUAUGCAUGAACUAUGAUGGGUUUUCUGUAAAUCUGCAAACUCCUGGAUAAAUAGAUAAAUCGCAGAUCCUAAAAAAAACUAUACGAGCCGAAACAAAGGCCAGCCCACAUUGCAUAGGGGCUCAUGUGCUGCUCACCAUGGGCCAAAGGCCCAGAUCUGGAGUGGUUCGGCUUGACUGGACGGCUGGGACGAGCUGGGCCUGGCCGAGGCGGUUGCUGGGCGCACGCGGUCAACGCGUGGCUGGACCGAGCGAUGCAGGCGCUCGUUUUGCUCGCACUAAACAGGGGCGCUGGCGGCUGGGAGCAGAGCUCCGGCGAGCGUGGGAAACGGCGGCGAGGCGAGGGACUUGGCGUGGCGUCGGCUUGUGGAAGAGCAACAACGAUGGAACUAGGUGCGGGCGAGGGACUUCGCGCUCGAGACGGACAGGAGGGCGCCGUCCUCGUCAGGAACCCUCGAAGACGACGACGACAGAGACUGCGGCAGGCAACGACGCAGCUUGGGCGGCGGAGCUGGAGCGAGGGAGGCGGCUGAGGGAGUGUGGUUGCCGGAGACGCGAUCCAGGGUGGCGGGAGUUGGGGCUCCAUGGCCACGGCGAGGAGUUCCAUGGGCGAAGGCACUAUUCGUUCCUGCAGGGAGGCGGGGUGAGAGGCAGAGAGAUCGUGAGCGAGAGAGAGGAACAGAGAGGAAAAAAAGGAGAGGUAAAGGGAGGCGCUGGAGUAGAAUCUCAUGUGCAUGCUCGCACACGAGCGCGAGGCUCUCCUCGGGUGGCUCCUGGAGGCAGCGCAAGGUUGAGGUGCUCGGGGAUGGCGCAGGUCACCGUAGACGAGGUGGCAGAGGCAGGAGACGAAGCUGCUCGAAGCUCUCACAUGGCGGCGUUGAGGGAGCUCGAGAGGAGGCUCGGAUGGAUUGGCUGGAUCUGAACACGAGGAAGGAAAGUGGUUGCUGCGAUUCGUCUCGGGUGGAACUGGAUCGGGAGGGGAUCCCGAUGUGGGAGACGAGUGGCGGCGGGGAGGGACAAGCCUCCUAGGUUUUAGGGUUAGGCUAGAUUUGGUAGGUGGUGGUCUAUAAAUAUAAGGAAAAGAGGGAGUUUGGAUCCUCCGAUCAAAAUCGGAUGGUUCAGAAAGAAUAGGUUAGGGAGUCCAAAUAAGAAAACGGUGACAUUUUGUAGACGUUUGGGGAUGAUCCGGAUCCAACGGUGACGACUGCCCGGGUCGGGUCCGGGACAAUCUCGGACGCGCACGUGAGGGGUUCGAUGCACUGUGCAGAGAGGGUUUCGGACCGUGCGGUCGCAUCAGACAACUUCGGAAGCGAAGAGGGGAAGGAGGAUGGACUAGGUGGGUUGUGGCGAGACUGCGAGGGGAAGAAGAGAAAGAGAGGGCCCGGCAUCUGUUUCCGGAGACCGAAAACGUCGUUAGACCGGUAAUAAUGGCGCUAUUGUUAAUCGUUGGGGCGUCAAACGAACUCCGAAUGCGAUGAAACUUGACAGGCGGUCUAUCUAUACUAUAAUAAGACCACACGCCAACUUUCAUCCCAUUCCGAGAACAUUUUCCGGCCACUUAUAAAAUACUAUUACGGACAUGUCGCGGGCGCGUGCGAGUGUGUCUGGAUUCAGAACGGACAACGGAAGGAACGGGGAGAACCCGGACGGAUGCAAGUUUUGAAAACAUGAUGAUGCAAUACACAUGAUGACAAGAUAUGCAAUGCAUGACACGCAAGCAACGACAACACAACAAUAGCGAAUAACUGGAGGACAACUGGCACAUCGGUCUCGGGGCGUUACAACAUAGAUGAGAAAGCUAGUUAGUAUCAACAAAUAGGGUUCACUGUAGUUGGUUGAUCGUCAUUACCAAUGGGCAUGGACAUCGGUGUUUGUGUUUCAUCUUCAUGGACACUGAUAUCGGCGGAAGCGUCAGCCAUUUUUUUGUUUCUUUAGGCGUGACGUUGUCUCUUUAAUAUUUCGUCUCUAUUUUGUGAAUACCGUUCCCUAUCCAGUCGCCUCUUCAGCUCCGUAGGGUCUACAUGUAUGAUUUAGAGUAUCAUAAGUUACCUGAAUAAUACGUAAGCAUGCAGUAUAUGGCCAUACUUACUUUGGGACAUGGCUAGGGGUGUGUCUGGCACAUUUUGCUCAUCAUUCGGCAGAGGUUUAUCAUUCUGCUUCUUUAAACGUGCCUCACGACGUCUUUUCAGAAUGUCCUCUCUAUUUCGUGCAUAAUAUUCUUUGUCCCUCUGCCUCUUAAUUUCUUUAGGGGCUGUUUAAAUAUACAAUGGAAAUUAGCACAUUUGUUAUAGAAGUGUUCAUCAACCCAGAAAAAAAGAAGCGCUCAGUUGGCUGAUAGUUACCCGAGGAAUGGAUGUUGCUUAUAUCCUGAAAUGGGGUGCGUGCCCCCGAGUGAUUUGGAGAAGUCAUAACGUCGACUUCGUAGACUGAAUACUCCAGUCAAAAAUCUGUCAAGAGGGUUGACUGGAAGCAUAUAUUAGUUAGAAUUAGAUUCAAGUUAUGUUGUCAUAAAUCUGUAGAUUGCAUUUUCUUAAAGCACAAGGAAGUUAGAAGAUAACUUGCAAGAACAAGAAGAAAUGUGUAAUAUUAAAAUCUUGCCUGAUGUUUUCAGAGGAUGACACAGGUGAUGCAAGGAACUGACGACCUGUUUGCAGCGAGAAGGUGAGGCAGGAGCAGCCGCGCAUCUAAUGGCCAGUGGAGGGCGGCGAGGGAAGGCGGCGGUGUUUUCGUGCGGCGAGGUCGCCGUCCAGGAAGGCGAAAGCGAUGAUGUUUCUGAGCGGCAAGGGGAUAUCGGUGGGAUAUGUUUCUUGUUUUUGGAUUUGGAUUUGGAAGGUCUAUUAUUAUUUGUGGGAAUGGGGGAUACGUGAUUGUAGGGAUUGUGUUUCCUUUCGCAUGGAAGUUUUUCUCCACGGUGGAGUACGGUCAGUCAAUGUAAAUUAGUAAGUGCACACCAGAAAACAUAUCAGGUGAAGGCUAGCCGUUGGAUAUAUAUUAGUGGGGAUAAUCAUGCGGUAGUAGUGGGUUCGUGUAUGUUUUGUGGGGUGCGUUUAACAAAGAUAAUGUUUGCUCUUUUAUUAGUAGUGGAUGGAAGUGGAUAGUGGAUGGAUUAGGACAACUCCACCGC